rnacentral:rRNA from 1 species
UACAGAGGGGGCAAGCGUUGUUCGGAAUUACUGGGCGUAAAGGGCGCGUAGGUGGCCUUCUAAGUUGAACGUGAAAUCCCUGGGCUCAACCCAGGAACUGCGUCCAAGACUGGGAGGCUUGAAUCCGGGAGAGGGAUGCGGAAUUCCAGGUGUAGCGGUGAAAUGCGUAGAUAUCUGGAGGAACACCGGUGGCGAAGGCGGCAUCCUGGACCAAUACUGACGCUGAGGAGCGAAAGCCAGGGGAGCAAACGGG